GCCCUUUUCCGGUUGAUCCUGCCGGAGGCCACUGCUAUCGGAGUUCGAUUAAGCCAUGCGAGUCGAGAGGUGUAAGACCUCGGCAUACUGCUCAGUAACACGUGGAUAAUCUAACCUAUGGUGGGGGGAAAACCCCCGGAAACUGGGGAUAAACCCCAUAGACUAUGGAUGCUGGAAGUCUCUGUAACCAAAAGGUCCGCCGCCAUAGGAUGAGUCUGCGGCCGAUUAGGUUGUUGUUGGGGUAACGGCCCAACAAGCCUGUAAUCGGUACGGGUUGUGGGAGCAAGAGCCCGGAGAUGGAUUCUGAGACACGAAUCCAGGCCCUACGGGGCGCAGCAGGCGCGAAAACUUUGCAAUGCGAGAAAUCGUGACAAGGGAACUCCGAGUGCCCGUAAAUUCGGGCUGUCCAUCUGUUUAAAAAACAGGUGAAGAAAGGGCCGGGCAAGACCGGUGCCAGCCGCCGCGGUAAUACCGGCGGCUCGAGUGGUGGCCACUAUUACUGGGCUUGAAGCGUCCGUAGCUGGUCUGUUAAGUCUCUGGGGAAAUCUACCGGCUUAACCGGUAGGCGUUUCAGGGAUACUGGCAGACUAGGGACCGGGAGAGGUGAGAGGUACUCCAGGGGUAGGAGUGAAAUCCUGUAAUCCUUGGGGGACCACCUGUGGCGAAGGCGUCUCACCAGAACGGCUCCGACAGUGAGGGACGAAAGCUGGGGGAGCAAACCGGAUUAGAUACCCGGGUAGUCCCAGCUGUAAACGAUGCGCGUUAGGUGUAUCGGUGACCACGAGUCACCGAGGUGCCGAAGAGAAAUCGUGAAACGUGCCGCCUGGGAAGUACGGUCGCAAGGCUGAAACUUAAAGGAAUUGGCGGGAAGGGC
rnacentral:rRNA from 1 species